rnacentral:sRNA from 1 species
CCGUGGGCUGACGCCCACGGCUAAGUGAUGACGCCGCUCCGCGGCU